rnacentral:rRNA from 1 species
ANACNACAGGGAAUUGCCCUAGUAACGGCGAGUGAAGCGGCAACAGCUCAAAUUUGAAAUCUGGCUCUCGGGCCCGAGUUGUAAUUUGUAGAGGAUACUUUUGAUGCGGUGCCUUCCGAGUUCCCUGGAACGGGACGCCAUAGAGGGUGAGAGCCCCGUCUGGUUGGAUGCCAAAUCUCUGUAAAGUUCCUUCGACGAGUCGAGUAGUUUGGGAAUGCUGCUCUAAAUGGGAGGUAUAUGUCUUCUAAAGCUAAAUACCGGCCAGAGACCGAUAGCGCACAAGUAGAGUGAUCGAAAGAUGAAAAGCACUUUGAAAAGAGAGUUAAAAAGUACGUGAAAUUGUUGAAAGGGAAGCGUUUAUGACCAGACUUGGGCUUGGUUAAUCAUCUGGGGUUCUCCCCAGUGCACUUUUCCAGUCCAGGCCAGCAUCAGUUUUCGCCGGGGGAUAAAGACUUCGGGAAUGUGGCUCUCUUCGGGGAGUGUUAUAGCCCGUUGUGUAAUACCCUGGCGGGGACUGAGGUUCGCGCAUCUGCAAGGAUGCUGGCGUAAUGGUCAUCAACGACCCGUCUUGAACCGGGAACCAA